rnacentral:rRNA from 1 species
GACGUACGCUGGCGGCGUGCCUAAUACAUGCAAGUAGAACGCUGAAGGAGGAGCUUGCUUCUCUGGAUGAGUUGCGAACGGGUGAGUAACGCGUAGGUAACCUGCCUGGUAGCGGGGGAUAACUAUUGGAAACGAUAGCUAAUACCGCAUAAGAGUAGAUGUUGCAUGACAUUUGCUUAAAAGGUGCAAUUGCAUCACUACCAGAUGGACCUGCGUUGUAUUAGCUAGUUGGUGAGGUAACGGCUCACCAAGGCGACGAUACAUAGCCGACCUGAGAGGGGGAUCGCCCACACUGGAACUGGAACACGGCCACGACUCCUACGGGAGGCGGAAGUGGGGAAUCUUCGGCAAUGGACGGAAGUCUGCCCGAGCAACGCGGCGUGAGGGAAGAAGGUUUCGGAUCGUAAAGCUCUGUUGUAAGAGAAGAACGAGUGUGAGAGUGGAAAGUUCACACUGUGACGGUAUCUUACCAGAAAGGGACGGCUAACUACGUG